GUCCUCUCAGGGUCACACCUGGAGAGUUUCCAGUACUCUACCAGUCUCGACUAUGGGAGGGACAGUCAAGCAGAGGCUUACCCAUUCCAUUCCUAGCUUGAGCAGUGGCCAGUGAGUGGAAAGCCAUCUGCUACAAGU
rnacentral:snoRNA from 1 species